GCUCCGAGCCGUAGGAGCCGGAUCGGGGGAGGGGCUGGGCCCCGGAGCUAGCACCCGGCGGCCUUCAGCCCUGCAGGCAGCCCUGAGGGCAAGGUAACGGCGACGGGCUUCCCCGUCGCGACGCCCUCCCGCGCGGGGCUCCAGUCCCCGCGAUCCCAAGCCCCGCCCUGCCGACCCCUGUCUGCCCCGGACCCCGGCCCUAGCCUGACGAGAUCCCCUGCCUCCCGAGGAUCUCUGGCCCCGGAUUCUCACGGGCCCCAUCCUCCGCUUCUCCUCGCCGACGAAGCGUCCCCAACGCUGAAGGCAGCCCCAUCCCCGGGCUGCAGCUCCGUCAAUGAUCCUGUGAGUAUUGAGGAGUCACUGCUGCCUCUGGGGGCCCCUGCGCUGGAGUGGCUCACCUGCCUGCCCCCAGCAUGGCAUCUGACACUCCCGAGUCCCUGAUGUCCCUCUGCACCGACUUCUGCCUGCGCAACCUGGAUGGCACCUUGGGCUACCUGCUGGACAAGGAGACCCUGCGGCUACAUCCAGACAUCUUCCUGCCCAGCGAGAUCUGCGACCGGCUUGUCAACGAGUAUGUGGAACUGGUCAACGCCGCCUGCAACUUUGAGCCACACGAGAGCUUCUUCAGCCUCUUCUCAGACCCCCGCAGCACCCGCCUCACCCGCAUCCACCUGCGUGAGGACCUGGUGCAGGACCAGGAUCUGGAAGCCAUUCGCAAGCAGGACUUGGUGGAGCUGUACCUGACCAACUGCGAGAAGCUGUCCGCCAAGAGCCUGCAGACACUGAGGAGCUUCAGCCACACCCUGGUGUCACUGAGCCUCUUCGGCUGCGCAAACAUUUUCUAUGAGGAGGAGAAUCCAGGGGGCUGUGAAGACGAGUGUCUCGUCAAUCCCACCUGCCAGGUGCUGGUUAAGGACUUCACCUUUGAGGGCUUUAGCCGCCUACGUUUCCUCAACUUGGGCCGCAUGAUUGAUGGGGUCCCAGUAGAGUCCCUGUUGCGGCCACUCAACUCGCUAGCCGCCUUGGACCUCUCAGGCAUUCAGACAAGUGAUGCAGCCUUCCUAACCCAGUGGAAAGACAGCCUAGUAUCCCUUGUGCUCUACAACAUGGACCUCUCGGAUGACCAUAUCCGUGUCAUUGUCCAGCUGCACAAGCUGCGACACCUGGAUAUCUCCCGAGACCGCCUCUCCAGCUACUACAAAUUCAAGCUAACUCGGAAAGUUCUGAGCCUCUUUGUGCAGAAGCUGGGAAACCUGAUGUCCCUGGACAUCUCUGGCCACAUGAUCCUGGAGAACUGCAGCAUCUCCAAGAUGGAUGAGGAAGCAGGACAAACCAGCAUUGAGCCAUCCAAGAGCAGCAUCAUGCCCUUCCGGGCUUUGAAGAGGCCCCUACAGUUCCUUGGGCUCUUCGAGACCUCUCUGUGCCGCCUAACGCACAUUCCGGCCUACAAAGUAAGUGGUGACAAAAAUGAGGAGCAGGUGCUGAAUGCCAUAGAGGCCUAUACAGAGCACCGGCCAGAGAUCACCUCACGAGCCAUCAACCUGCUUUUUGACAUCGCACGCAUUGAGCGCUGCAACCAGCUGCUGCGGGCCCUGAAGCUGGUCAUCACAGCCCUCAAGUGCCACAAGUAUGACAAGAACAUCCAAGUGACAGGCAGCGCUGCCCUCUUCUACCUGACCAAUUCCGAGUACCGCUCAGAGCAGAGUAUCAAGCUGCGGCGGCAGGUCAUCCAGGUGGUGCUGAAUGGCAUGGAAUCCUACCAGGAGGUGACGGUUCAGCGGAACUGCUGUCUGACCCUCUGCAACUUCAGCAUCCCUGAGGAGCUGGAAUUCCAGUACCGCCGGGUCAACGAGCUCCUGCUCAGCAUCCUUAACCCCACACGGCAGGAUGAGUCGAUCCAGCGCAUCGCCGUACACCUCUGCAACGCCCUGGUCUGUCAGGUGGACAACGACCACAAAGAGGCAGUGGGCAAGAUGGGCUUUGUUGUGACCAUGCUGAAGCUGAUUCAGAAGAAGCUGCUGGACAAGAUAUGUGACCAGGUGAUGGAGUUUUCCUGGAGUGCCCUGUGGAACAUCACAGACGAGACACCCGACAACUGCGAGAUGUUCCUCAACUUCAAUGGCAUGAAGCUCUUCCUAGACUGCCUGAAGGAAUUCCCAGAGAAGCAGGAACUACAUCGGAAUAUGCUGGGACUCUUGGGGAAUGUGGCAGAAGUGAAGGAGCUGCGGCCCCAGCUGAUGACUUCCCAAUUCAUCAGCGUCUUCAGCAACCUGCUGGAGAGCAAGGCAGACGGGAUUGAGGUCUCCUACAAUGCCUGCGGCGUCCUCUCCCAUAUCAUGUUUGAUGGGCCCGAGGCCUGGGGCAUCUGCGAGCCCCAGCGGGAGGAGGUGGAGGAACGCAUGUGGACAGCCAUCCAGAGCUGGGACGUCAACUCACGGAGAAACAUCAAUUACAGGUCCUUUGAGCCAAUCCUUCGCCUUCUUCCCCAGGGUAUCUCCCCUGUCAGCCAGCACUGGGCAACCUGGGCCCUGUACAACCUUGUAUCUGUCUACCCGGACAAAUACUGCCCUCUGCUGAUCAAAGAAGGCGGGAUGCCCCUUCUGAGGGACAUGAUCAAGAUGGCGACUGCACGGCAGGAGACCAAGGAAAUGGCCCGCCACUGUGUCAACCCGCCUUGUUGAGAGUCUUCCUCUUUUCCACUGACCCUGUACUUUGCCAAGCAUGAUGUCCUUCUCCAGGGACCGAUCCCUCCUGAUAACAUGUCCAAACAAGGUGAUUGAGCACUGCAGUAACUUUAAAGAGGAGAACAUGGACACAUCCAGAUAGAGGCCUCUGUCCCCACAGCCGCCAUCACUCUGGACCACAAGGCCAGGAGGAAGCACUCUCAAGCAACCCAGCUGGCAGACCCCCUUCCAGGGAGCCUCCCACAAGAUGAAGAGGCAUGGGGGAACUUUUGCACAACCGACGCUUUUCCUUAACAUUAGUGAGAUAUAUAUAUUAUAUAUAUAUAUUUUUUUUUUUGUUGUUAGGAAGUGUGAAGUUUUGUGUGUAUGAUUUCUGUACAAAAACAAAAGAAACUCUCCCUGAGUCUUUGCAGCUUCCUUGGCCAUUCUCAAGCCCCAGCUCAAAGCCUUCAUCGCUGCCACACUCACUCCUACCCCAACCAGACUAAAUGCCUAUAACAUUGUGAGUGUCCAGCCCUUUCCCAGUCAAAUCAGACCGCUUCCUAUUGUGAGAAGCAGCAGGCCUUUAACAGCCCACCCCAGCACCCAACCCACCCACCAAAGCCUGAGAACCCCAUCUGGGCCCCUCAGCUCAGCUGGUGGGGAUUGGGGAUUAAAACUAACCCCACUGGGUCUCCCAAAUGCCUUGGUGCUCCCAGCUGUGGGCCAUCUGGAGCAAGAAAUUGAGCUGUUCCUAGGCCUCAGUCUGGGCAGCCCCAGCCAUGAAGGACCCACAAGGAGCAGGGCCCACUGUGGCCCUGCUGCUGUCUAUCCAGGCCCGCCUGAGGCCACGCUGCUAUGGAGGCUGCCUCCUAGUCUCCUACCAGGUCCCAGGUUGUUGAAGGCCCCACCCUAGGGAUGGUUAGAACUCAGGGGCAGAUUCCUUGCCCCUUCUGCCAAACAUAUCCAGAAUCUGCCUCCAGCCCUGGAAGCCAAUACCUUCUAGGGCUGGGGGUUUGCUCCCUCACUCCAUGGCCCCUCAUCUGCCCGCAAACACCCAAGGUGCCCAGGCACUCCCACCAGCAGAAUUGAGCCUGCCACACUCACCCCUGCCUGCCCCAUUGCCGGGAGGACCCCCACCUCUCUCAGGGGCAGGUGGUCCCACUCACACGCCAGCCUUUCACUGUGGCAACAGGCAGACACACCUCCAGACCAGCACCUGGAACACCUUGCCAGCACCACUCAGCCCCUCAGUCCCCACUCCCACCCUGCCCUGCAGCUUUACCUUGGAAACCUCUGUGCUGUGUUUCAGAGAAGUGUGAGACGCAGAUGUAUCUAAUUAUCUUGUGUAACUCUGAAUUGCUUCUCAUCGGGACAUACGGGUGGUGAGCGGAGCCUGCCUGGAACAAGUGGGCCUGGGGAGCGGAGCUGACCCUGAAGGCAGCCCUUGGAGAAUGUCAUUUCUUCCCAUCUCCUUCCCUGGGCCUGAUUCUGGAUUCUCCUAGCACUUCUGCGUCUAUGUGAAACAGGCUAGGUUUGGAGCCUCAGGGGAGAGGCAACUGGCCUUUCCUCCUGGAGCCUUUCCCUCCCAGCCCAGGAAGGUAGCAGCUGCCUCAUCAUGUCCCCAGCUUGGCAGAUGGGCUGCAUCUGCCUCUCCUGUCCAUGCUCUCUGGCUCGAGCCAGACCCCAGCGAGCUCAUCCCGCAUUGCUUCACCACCUGGGGCCUGGUAAAUGUAAUUUGGGAUGUCACAGAAAUACAUUUUUGUGCAAAGUGCAGAGGAGCGAGCGUCUUUUUUAUGGAAGGGAUGGGGGUAGCUAGCCUGGCUUCCAGGUGAGGAGAGGCCUGGGCCCACUGGCUUGGGCCACGGGCCUUGAGUGUGGGUAAUUCUGUGACGGGGAGGGAUGUGUUCAGCCAGUUUGUGUGCUGAGCCACAGCGCCAGUCAACUGCAGGGUGGGAACAGGUGGCAGAGCAGGCUGAAGUACCUAUUCCCUUGAAUACAGCUGGCACCUGAGCCAAUGGGGCCCUGCUCAGGAUGGCUCAGUCGGGUGGUAGACGUGGAUGGUAAAUAUGAGACUAUGACCCAGUCCACAACAUGUAGGGGAGGGGAACAUAGAGACGGCCCUUCCUGCAGGUGGUGGGUGUGUGUUGGAGGUCAGGGAAGAUUGGAGUUUGCUGGGCAACAGUGCUUCAGGGAGGGGGAAGAGCAGGUGUCAGGUGAGAGACAGCACUGAGCUCUCAGAAGAGGAGACCGCUGAGCUGAGUGAGAAGAUGAGGCUGCUAGGCCUGGGCCUGGGGAAAGAGCAUCCUAGACAGAGGCCCUGCUAGGAGAAGGGCCUUGCAGGGAGAACAGUGAGGCAUCCAUGUGGCACAGCUAAGCGAAGGAACAAGGGAGCAAGCAGGAGAAGUAGCUGGGGCUGAUCAUGUGAUGUGACCAGACUACGGCUCAGCCCGACACAGUUGUGGUUUACACCUGUUGUCCCAGUGUCACUAUUAACUGUACCCUCUUUCACUCUCAAAGGUGGAAUAAUAACUUGUGGUUACGUUCCUCACAGGUCACACGAGAGUGUGCGUUUUAUUUCUACAUGAGGAUAACCUAUUGGACCUGCCAUUGGGGAGCGUCAUGACCUAAUGAAACAUACU